rnacentral:tRNA from 1 species
GGGGAUGUAGCUCAAUGGUAGAGCACUUGGCUACCAUGCACCAGACCCUAGGUUUAAUCCCCAGCACCCCCA